CGUAGUUGCGAUGAGGAUAACAAGCUCCCUCUUCUAAAAGGAUUGACAACAUCGCUGGCAGAAUCGAACCAAUUAGAUAUUGCCACCACUGACUAA
rnacentral:snoRNA from 1 species